UACGUAGGGGGCAAGCGUUGUCCGGAUUUACUGGGCGUAAAGAGCGCGUAGGCGGAAGCUUAAGUGUGGCCUGAAAGCCCCCGGCUCAACCGGGGAAGGUGGCUGCAAACUGGGCUUCUUGAGGGCGAUAGGGGAGAGCGGAAUUCCUGGUGUAGCGGUGAAAUGCGUAGAGAUCAGGAGGAACACCGAUGGCGAAGGCAGCUCUCUGGGUCGGCCCUGACGCUGAGGCGCGAAAGCGUGGGGAGCGAACGGG
rnacentral:rRNA from 1 species